rnacentral:rRNA from 1 species
AUUGAACGCUGGCGGCAUGCCUAACACAUGCAAGUCGAACGAGUGGCGGACGGGUGAGGAAUGUCAGGGCAUCUGCCUGAUGGAGGGGGAUAACGACUGGAAACUGUAGCUAAUACCGCAUACCAUCGGAUGUGCCCAGAUGGGAUUGGCUGCUAGGUGGGUUAAAGGCUCACCUGGGCGAGGUUCCCUAGCUGGUCUGAGAGGAGGACCGGCCAAAUUGGAACUGAGAAAGGGUCCAGACUCCUACGGGAGGAAGCAGUGGGGAAUAUUGCACAAUGGGGGCACGCCGGAUGCAGCAAUGCCGCGUGUAUGAAGAAGGCCUUCGGGUUGUAAAGUACUUUGAGCAGGGAGGCGUUACCUGCAGAAGAAGCACCGGCUAACUCCGUGCCAGCAGCCGCGGUAAUAC